rnacentral:rRNA from 1 species
ACCAGGGCUUCGGCCCUGGGGACAGCGGCGAACGGGUGAGUAACACGUGGAUAACCUGCCCUCGGCACCGGAAUAGCCCGGGGAAACUCGGAUUAAUGCCGGAUGGCCCCACAUCCUCUCGGGGAACGUGGGAAAAGGUAGCUUCGGCCUCUGGCCGGGGAUGGGUCCGCGGCGGAUUAGCUUGUUGGUGGGGUAACGGCCUACCAAGGCUCCGAUCCGUAGCUGGUCUGAGAGGACGAUCAGCCACACUGGGACUGAGACACGGCCCAGACUCCUACGGGAGGCAGCAGUGGGGAAUCUUGCGCAAUGGGCGAAAGCCUGACGCAGCGACACCGCGUGGGGGACGAAGGCCUUUCAGG